CUACGGGGGGCUCCAGUGGGAAUAUUGCACAAUGGGGGAAACCCUGAUGCAGCGACGCCGCGUGCGGGAAGAAGGCCUUAGGGUUGUAAACCGCUUUCAAUUGUGAAGAAGGGAUGAGAGUUAAUAGCUUUCUGACUUGACGGUAGCAUUAGAAGAAGCACCGGCUAAUUUCGUGCCAGCAGCCGCGGUAAUACGAAAGGUGCAAGCGUUGUUCGGAUUUACUGGGCGUAAAGAGAUCGUAGGUGGUUUGUUAAGUCGGAUGUGAAAUCCCGGGGCUCAACCUCGGAACUGCAUCCGAUACUGGCAGGCUAGAGUUCGGGAGGGGAAUGCGGAAUUCCGUGUGUAGCAGUGAAAUGCGUAGAUAUACGGAGGAACACCUGAGGCGAAGGCGGCAUUCUGGACCGAUACUGACACUGAGGAUCGAAAGCGUGGGUAGCAAACAGGAUUAGAUACCCUAGUAGUC
rnacentral:rRNA from 1 species